rnacentral:rRNA from 1 species
UACGAAGGGGGCUAGCGUUGCUCGGAAUUACUGGGCGUAAAGGGCGCGUAGGCGGACAGUUUAGUCAGAGGUGAAAGCCCAGGGCUCAACCUUGGAAUUGCCUUUGAUACUGGCUGUCUUGAGUACGGGAGAGGUGUGUGGAACUCCGAGUGUAGAGGUGAAAUUCGUAGAUAUUCGGAAGAACACCAGUGGCGAAGGCGACUCACUGGACACAUAUUGACGCUGAGGUGCGAAAGCGUGGGGAGCAAACAGG